rnacentral:rRNA from 1 species
GGUGAGUAACACGUGGAUAACCUACCUAUAAGACUGGGAUAGCUUCGGGAAACCGUAGCUAAUACCGGAUAAUAUUUUGAACCGCAUGGUUCAAAAGUGAAAGACGGUCUUGCUGUCACUUAUAGAUGGAUCCGCGCUGCAUUAGCUAGUUUGUAAGGUAACGGCUUACCAAGGCAACGAUGCAUAGCCGACCUGAGAGGGUGAUCGGCCACACUGGAACUGAGACACGGUCCAG